UACGGGGGGGGCAAGCGUUGUUCGGAAUUACUGGGCGUAAAGGGCUCGUAGGUGGCCAACUAAGUCGGACGUGAAAUCCCUCGGCUUAACCGGGGAACUGCGUCUGAUACUGGAUGGCUUGAGUUCGGGAGAGGGAUGCGGAAUUCCAGGUGUAGCGGUGAAAUGCGUAGAUAUUGGGAAGAACACCGGUGGCGAAGGCGGCCAUCUGGACCGCAACUGACGCUGAGGCGCGAAAGCGUGGGGAGCAAACAGG
rnacentral:rRNA from 1 species